rnacentral:rRNA from 1 species
GUCCACACUGUAAACGAUGAUUACUCGAUGUUGGCGAUACACAGCCAGCGUCUUAGCGAAAGCGAUAAGUAAUCCACCUGGGGAGUACGCCCGCAAGGGUGAAACUCAAAGGAAUUGACGGGUGUCCGCACAAGCGGUGGAGCAUGUGGUUUAAUUCGAUGAUACGCGAGGAACCUUACCUGGGCUAGAAUGCCCUUGACAGAUUCAGAGAUGGAUUCUUCCGCAAGGACAAGGAGCAAGGUGCUGCAUGGCUGUCGU